AUUGAACGCUGGCGGCAUGCCUUACACAUGCAAGUCGAACGGCAGCAUGAUCUCGCUUGCUAGAUUGAUGGCGAGUGGCGCACGGGUGAGUAAUACAUCGGAACGUGCCCUGUAGUGGGGGAUAACUAGUCGAAAGAUUAGCUAAUACCGCAUACGACCUGAGGGUGAAAGUGGGGGACCGCAAGGCCUCAUGCUAUAGGAGCGGCCGAUGUCUGAUUAGCUAGUUGGUGGGGUAAAGGCCCACCAAGGCGACGAUCAGUAGCUGGUCUGAGAGGACGAUCAGCCACACUGGGACUGAGACACGGCCCAGACUCCUACGGGAGGCAGCAGUGGGGAAUUUUGGACAAUGGGGGCAACCCUGAUCCAGCAAUGCCGCGUGUGUGAAGAAGGCCUUCGGGUUGUAAAGCACUUUUGUCCGGAAAGAAAUCGCACUUACUAAUAUUAGGUGUGGAUGACGGUACCGGAAGAAUAAGGACCGGCUAACUACGUG
rnacentral:rRNA from 1 species